AGUCUGGGCGCUGGAGCGGUGGGAGCAGCGCUCGUCCGCCGUUGGGGCCCCCAGCCCGCGCGCGUGAAGCAGCUAGCCGACCAAGCCCCGGAAGGCGAGUGCCGGAGGGGGCGGGACAGCUCCUCCGGGGCCAGCGGGCACCAGGCUUGGGGGCUGAGGCCCAGCGGCCCGAGACCAACUGGGCUGACCGAGGCCGCCUCCCCGCCAGCCCUGGGGUCCACUGCCCGGGGAGCAGCUCCCUUCCCAGGUCAGACUCGGGCUUCAUCCUCUCUUGCCGCGCGCCGAGCGGUUUUCAACUCUCACUGCUAGAAUUCCUCCAACCACCCAGGAUAGCAGGACCGAGAUACAUGGCCACCCAUGACCCGGAGCGUCCACUUCCAGGGACAGGCAGUGGUGAUUGGCUUCGGUUGUCAUCUGUGCCAUCUGUCCAUGGUUCGAGAAGCUGCUGUUCACGUUUUGGGGAGGAUCAUGGUUUGAGGGCUCCCGUGGUAGAAUUUGGGGAGCUCUCAUAGGCAGAAGGCUGAGAAAAGUUGGUGCUGUGGGAAGUCAACUGGCAGCCGAUGGAGUCGGGACCCGGGAGGAAUGGAAAGGGAACCCAGAUAGGAAGCUACUGCAGUAGGCUCAGAGAGGUGAUGACGGCAGGGCUAAGACAGCGGCCUUGGGCGGUGACUGGGAAGAACGUUGAACACCGUGUUUGGGCUGAAGAAAAGAGCAAGGGAAGAGGUGAGGAACUUCAGUCCCAGCUGCUCUGGAGUUUGAGGCAGGAGGAUGGCUUGAACCCAAGAGGUGGAGGCUGAAGUGAGCCAAGAUCGCGCCACUGCACUCCAGCCUGGGCGACAGGGCAAAACCCUGUCUCUAAAAAGAACUUUUUAAAAAAGCACCUGUAGAUUUAAGCACAUAAUAACUACACUUUUGUCUGUUUUAUUAUGAUAUCAAAGUUAAAUUUAUGAUGAAUGACUAACUGGACAAAACUGAGAGCAACCACCACAGAGGUGAAUAUACUGAAUGUAUAACACUCUCUAAUAAUUUUAAGAACUCCGCUCUAAUGAGCAGAUAUCACAGAAAGAGACUUUUCAGAUGAAAUACCGAUGACCAGGAAAUCUGUGAGACCAUUUUAAAAAAUUCGAAGUCAUUGAAGAAAUGCAAAGCUUCCAGGCUCCACUUUUCACUGAUGAAAUUGGCAGAGUUUGGGACAAUGAGAUGUUGCUGUCCCGGGAGUGCGGAUGGGGCUGUGUCCUGUGAUGGCG
rnacentral:lncRNA from 1 species